AGAUCGUGUAUUCUGGAUCUAAGGACGGUGGAUUUCCUUGACCUCCGUCUUCACAGCUUAAGUUUAACGAUGUUCUUUGGAACUGUCUUCCAGCCGGUGGGGGCCAGUAAAUAGGAGAUGAGCCGCCCAGAUAACUAGAUCCGGCUGGGCCUCCUCCCACACAUGUGGCCAGGGCGCCAUCGGGAGUGGUCAGCGUGCAGCUUCGCCUCUGCCGCGUGCCAGUCCGCAGGGACCCCAGGACGUCACUUCGGCCUAGCGGGCCCUGGUCUGUUGGGAGUUGGCGAUGGCACCGGAAGCCCAAACCUGUAUCUGCUCCAACAUUUGAUGCCCCUGGCGGUCAUGGCUUCUCCGCGGAAGCUAGAGCAGGACGUGCAGGCGAAAGUAGAUUCAUUCCGGGCCCGCAUCGCCCAGGAGGCCGAGGAUCUAGUGUCCACCUUCUUCCCUCAGAAGCUCUCGGAGCUAGAUAGUCGGGUCCAGGAGCUCCGCCUGCAAGACUUGUCCAGAAUCCGUUCAGUGCCAGCCCCAGAGAGCCUCAUCGCCCCAGACACUGUGGGUGAUGGGCCCAACCGGGAUCCGCCACCUCUGCAGACCCAGUCCUCCAUCAAGGUACUAGCACUGCCCGGCGGCGAGGGACAGCUUCUGCGAAGCAACCAGCAUCUGGUGGAGCUGAUUGAGCGUGUAAAGCCUGAGAUCGAGCUGCUGAGAGAGAAGUGCAACACCGUGCGGAUGUGGGUGCAGCUGCUCAUCCCGAAGGUGGAGGACGGCAACAACUUCGGAGUGUCCAUCCAGGAAGACACCGUGGACCAGCUGUGGACUGUGGAGAGCACAGCAGCCUCCUAUCUACGCCGCUUCUCCACCUACUACAACACCCGAGCCAAGCUGGUAUCCAAGAUAGUGAAAUACCCCCAGGUGGAAGAUUAUCGCCGCACUGUCGCGGAGGUCGACGAAAAUGAGUACCUGAGUGUGCGCCAGAUCCUGCUCCAUGUACGGAACCAGUAUGCCACUUUGCAUGAUGUAAUCCUCAAAAACAUAGAGAAGAUCAAGACCCCUCGGAGCACCAACACUGACAACCUUUACUGAGGACCUUUCUCCACCCCACUUUCCUUCAGGAGUUGGCUGAGCUGUUCAGGCAGCCAGAAGGCUGGUUAUCUACAGGUGAUGAAACAACUGGAAAUGUGCGUUACUCUUUAGAGACUGUUUCGUAUAGCUUAUCCUCAUACUAAAUCCUCUUGGUAUAAUUUUUAUUUGAUUUUUCUUUGGGGUGAGAGAAUGGGAUCAAGCCAUCUGGUUGAAGGUGGUAAGGCUGGUCAAGGAGAAAGGAUGGCCAUUUUAAAAACAGCUUUAUAGAUGAAUAUUGGCCAAGGUUUCUUUUUUUAUGGCAUUGGUGAUACUGAAUGGUUUCAGGGGUUAAUUUUAAAAAAAAAAUUUAAAGAAAGUUCAAUGAAGCUUUUCUUAAAGUUCUCCUCUGUUACUUUGUUCAAACCUCAGAAAUGCUCCUUUGAUACCAUCUUUUGUUUUUUGCAAGAAGAGGAGUUUAAAGGGAUGCAUUUAGGUCAUUGUAUGCUUUCAGUUUAGCAAAUUGAAAUAAACAUAAUUUUUUGA